rnacentral:lncRNA from 1 species
CAUCAACUUCACUGGAGAAGACAUCCGCAGAAAAUUUGUUUCUCAUCUCAAUUCUGCCUUCUCUACUGUUGGUCUCACCACUUUCCUUCAUCACCCCAAUGCAGUGAAGUCAACUCACAUCCAACAACCUAUUCACAGCCACUGUCGUGUAGCAAUUGUUGUUUUCACCCAAACCUAUUCUCAAUCUGCUUGGUGUCUUCAUCAGCUUCAUCAUAUCAUCAACUGGCACGAAACUUAUUGCCGACAUGUUCUGCCCGUAUAUUAUGAAAUCCAGCCAUCUGAUGUACGUCUUCAGAAGGGUGACUUUGGAAAAGCUUUCAAGGCAACUGCUCAACAAACAUUUUCAGAACAAGAACUUGAGCAUGGCAUGUCCAGGUGGAGCCAUGCACUCACCAAAGCUGCAAAUUUCUUUGGAUGGGAUGAGAGCAAUCACAGGUACAUCACUCACUCAAUCAACCAUCUUUUAAGCUUCCAAUUUCAUUUUUUUAAUACAUGACUUCUUCUAUUAUUGCUCUUGAACUUGAAGGAGUGAUGCUGAAUUAGUGGACAAAAUUGUUAAGAGCGUUGUUAAUUUACUGGUUUUGUCUGCUACUAAAUUUCCAGUAGGAUUACAAUCCCGCGUGGAAGAUCUGAUUCGAACUAUCAAAAAUAAAUCCACUGAAGUUUGUAUUGUAGAGAUAUGUGGAGACCAAGGAUAUGGUAAAACAACUCUUGCCAAAGCGAUCUACAAUCAAAUUCAUUGGACAUUCAAGAAGAAAAGUUUCAUUGAAAAUAUUUCACAAGUUACCGGAAUAAGAGGGUAUCUUCGUUUACUGGAACAACUUGUUUUAGAUAUCCUAAAACAAAAGGUGGAGAUUCCUACUAUUGAUGUGGGAAGAAGAAUGAUUCGGGAAACACUUUAUGGAAAAAGGUGCUCAUUGUACUUGAUGAUGUGCCUAACAAUUAUGAACUUUUAGCACUAUGGACUUAUAAUCAUUAUUGGUUCAGUAAAGGAACGGUAAUAAUCAUUACAACAAGCGAUGAAGACCUACGGAUGAACCAGCCGAUAGAUUCUAUAUUUCGGCUAGAGCGAAUGAACGCAGAGGAUUCCCUUGAGCUUUUUAGUUGGCACGCAUUUAGAGAACCAAAACCAAAGGAUGAAUACGAAGACCUUGCAAGAAGAGUAAUUAGUUAUUGUAGAGGAGUAACACUAGCUCUUGAAAUCGUUGGAAGUAGUUUAUUUGAAAAGACGAAAGAAGAAUGGAACAGUUUAUUGUUUAAAUAUCUGAUAAUUGGCUGGCAUCGUGUUCCAGAUAUUAUAAAAGUAAGCAUCGAAGGUUCACUGAAUGAAAUGGAAAAAGAUAUAUUCCUUGAUAUAUGUUNNNNNNNNNNNNNNNNNNNNNNNNNNNNNNNNNNNNNNNNNNNNNNNNNNNNNNNNNNNNNNNNNNNNNNNNNNNNNNNNNNNNNNNNNNNNNNNNNNNNNNNNNNNNNNNNNNNNNNNNNNNNNNNNNNNNNNNNNNNNNNNNNNNNNNNNNNNNNNNNNNNNNNNNNNNNNNNNNNNNNNNNNNNNNNNNNNNNNNNNNNNNNNNNNNNNNNNNNNNNNNNNNNNNNNNNNNNNNNNNNNNNNNNNNNNNNNNNNNNNNNNNNNNNNNNNNNNNNNNNNNNNNNNNNNNNNNNNNNNNNNNNNNNNNNNNNNNNNNNNNNNNNNNNNNNNNNNNNNNNNNNNNNNNNNNNNNNNNNNNNNNNNNNNNNNNNNNNNNNNNNNNNNNNNNNNNNNNNNNNNNNNNNNNNNNNNNNNNNNNNNNNNNNNNNNNNNNNNNNNNNNNNNNNNNNNNNNNNNNNNNNNNNNNNNNNNNNNNNNNNNNNNNNNNNNNNNNNNNNNNNNNNNNNNNNNNNNNNNNNNNNNNNNNNNNNNNNNNNNNNNNNNNNNNNNNNNNNNNNNNNNNNNNNNNNNNNNNNNNNNNNNNNNNNNNNNNNNNNNNNNNNNNNNNNNNNNNNNNNNNNNNNNNNNNNNNNNNNNNNNNNNNNNNNNNNNNNNNNNNNNNNNNNNNNNNNNNNNNNNNNNNNNNNNNNNNNNNNNNNNNNNNNNNNNNNNNNNNNNNNNNNNNNNNNNNNNNNNNNNNNNNNNNNNNNNNNNNNNNNNNNNNNNNNNNNNNNNNNNNNNNNNNNNNNUGAUAACUCUAAUUGCUGAAAAUAUAGUUGUGAAACAUGUGCCUUUUUCAAUUAUAAGCUCAAAAGGCAUUGGAUAUAUGUCCCUACGAGGAUUUCAGAGAUUAUCUCAUAAUUUUUUUCCUUCUAUCAUUCGGUCUUGGAUGUCGCCAACAAUGAAUCCCAUUUCUUAUAUUCAUUCGUUUUGCAUGGAUAUCGAGGAUAAUACGAUUGAUAUUGCACCGUUGCUUAGCACCCUUGCAAAUAUUCGAAGUGUUUUGGUAGCAUGUGACACCGAAUUUCAGUUAUCUAAGCAAGUGAAAAAUAUUUUGGUUGAAUAUUUUGCGAAUAUUACAGAAUCAGGAAUUUCAAAGCAGCACUUCAGGUGCUCUUUGAUUGGUGUUGGAACAUACCAUCAAUUCUUCAAUGCUGUCAGCGAUAACAUAUAUCAGGUUCUUCUCUAUCUUUGUAUCUCUUUAUUACUUUCAGUUUCAUUUUUCACUAUUAAUCUAGAGAACAUAGAAUAAUCCUAAUUAAAUAUAUGACUGAAACUACAAUAAUCAACUUUAGCACGCUUAAUUUAUAUAGAACCUCAUCUAGAGGUUUCUUAUUUUGGUAAUCCACUAAUCAAGAGAUUUUGCUUUUAUUUCAAUACUUCCUUCACUACCACAAAAAUAGUUUUUAACUUCUUUUAUUUUAGGCUUUUGACGUCUGUUAAAUGACAUCGACGUAAAUUGACGUAUGUUGUCUUUGAACAAACGUUAAUUUAUGUUUUUUUUUUUUUAAAUUUCGCCACCAUGAAGGUGAGGAAGUAGACACGUGCCAAUGUGAGGAUGAGGAGAAAAACACGCACAACAAUGGUUUGAAAAUUGCAGGGACCGAUGUCAAUAAUCCUCUAGAUCCAACGUCGAAUAUAGCAGGGGCCGACGUCUAAUGUCUGCAAAAGUGUUAGGACCUUUUUGACGUAUGAUAUGGGGCCCGACGUCUAAAGGAGGAUUUGACGUCUGAUUUAGGGUGUCCAACGUCUAUAUUGUAAAAAAAUAUUAAUAUUGACGUUUAAAAUGAGAUAUUUUUGGACCUUUUUUGACGUCUAAUUUGGGGGGCUCGUCUAAAGGAGGAUUUGACACCUGAUCCUGGAGGAACGAACUUCUAUAAUGACAUUUUAUUUACAAUAAUGUCACCAAUCAGUUACACGCAUGACGUUAAAAGUCAUUUCUGCACUAGUGUUUACUCUAUUUUACUGGCUUCACGACUAUUAUAUAUCCAAUCGUGGUAGAAAUAUGCUAAAAGGACAAAAACUUAAAUGCUUUGUAAAUAGGUAACAACCUAAUGAUGAUACAUACAGAACAAAAGUAUUAAUCAGAUUUGUUUAGAUUAAUUUCCAUUGGUAUGUUUUGAUUAUGUACUGCAUUAUAGUUUGGUUGAUUAUAAAUGCCCACUUUGUAAUUAUUAAUGUUAAAAUAAUGAUUAUAGAAGACAAUUUGAAUAGAAAAAUUAGAUAAAUGAACAAGCCUUGUAUGUUAUGGUGUAGGUAUUGUCAAGCAGUGAGUCUUAUGAUGUUUGUCUCCCAGCUGUCGAUGAUCCUUAUUGCAUGGCCCAUAUGGGUGAGGGACACUCUGUUUCUUUCGUUGUGCCUGAAGAUGGUGAUAUGAAAGGAAUGAUUUUGUGUGUUAUCUAUUUAUCAACUCCUAAGAUCAUUGAACCUCAAUUUACUACUGUCGUAAUUGUUAAUUACACAAAGUGUACAUUCCAUAUACACAAUCAUGGCACAGCAAUUUCCUUUAAAGAUGAAGAUUGGCAUGACAUAAUGUCAAAUUUAGAAUGUGGAGACAAUGUGGAGAUAUUUGUGAACUUUGGUAAUGGAUUGGUGGUCAAGAACACAACGGUGUAUCUGAUAUGGGGUGAAGCAGAGAACAUGGAAAAAGUGUCUGAGCCAAAAAAACAGUCUCUCAUUAGAUUCAUAAAGAAAGUUGUAAUGUGACUUCUGAUAAGUCAUUUAUGUUUUUUUGAGAACAGCAUUAUCAUUUAGUGAUAGAAAUAAAUAAUCAUAUUGUCACAUCAAGAAUCAUCACUAAUUUCUCUUAAAAGAAAAAAAGGAUAUGCUUUAUGAAAUAAAGGCAGCUGUUGACACAUAUAUGAGACAACAUUUUGACACAUAUGUUGACACAAAAUAAUGGAAUUUUUAUUCGAAUAAGAAUAAUUUAUUCACUCUUAAAAAAAUUAAGUCAAGAAUUCGGGUAGAAUCAUACAAAUUUUCAUUGAAGUGUUUCAGAUAUGGUAAAUAACAAAAAAAAUAAAAAAUAAUGUAAUUUUCUUUAAACAAGGUAACAAUUUUCUUUAAAAAUAAGAAUAUAGAUUAAUAACAUCAAACUCUCAAAACAAUAAAAAUAAAAAAUAAAAUAAAACUAUAUAUUUCAAGUGUGAUUUUAUGAUAAAUGCAUAUGACGACGUAUUCUUUUUAGUCCAAUUAUUUUUUUAAACUUGUGGUAUUGUUUCUUUAGUGUGCUUUUAAAAUAAUUAAAUUGUAAUAUAUUAAAAAAUUACUGAUAUGUUUUAAAAUAUAAAUUAGUGCAAAAACGUUUUUUAACGUCACAUGGUAGACGUCGGUUACGGGCAUUUGCGACGCAUAUUGAUGACCGGUGGCAAUUCCGUAAAUAAGUUGGCAAUAUAGGCGUAGGUUAGGUCCAUCUUCUACGUCUAUAGAAUUUUAGAAGGCCCUUCAAACCUGACGUCUAUAUUUCUAACCGCUAGGUAAAAAGUCAUUUCCAUCAGCCUUAUAGACGUCGGUUCGUUUGGGACACCGACGUCGAAAUGGCAGAAAUUAAUGUUGCUCACCUACUUAUCAGACAUAUAGACGUCAGUCCCCUUCUAACUGACGCCUAUAAGUUUGUCAAGCAGGUGAAUAGUCACUGUUUUCAGCCUUAUAGGAGUCGAAGCCCACCACAUUGAAGGGGCCCCGACGUCUACAUGGCGAAAAUUAAUGCUCCCCACCAACCUGUCAGACAUAUAGACGUCGGUCUCGUUGUAACUGACGCCUAUAUGUCUACCGGACAGGUGAAUAGUUACUUUUUUUGAGAGCUCCUGUUGUAGCUGUCAGUGUUCACAGCUCCUGUUGUAAUAUUGAGAGAUUCCAUUUCUGGUCUCACGGCUUCGAACUCCUUUUCAUCCUCUUCCAUUUGUAACAAUAAAUACUGUCUGUUGGGACACUUAUGAUUGAAAGAAAAUUUCUCAUCACAAAAAUAACAAAGACCCUUCUCUCGUCGUAGUUGCAUUUUCGUAGGACUGAUUUUCUUCACAUUGGAAUUUCGAAAAUUAGGUCCUGAAGGGGUGGGUAAUAAUGGAGGUAGAGGCUGGGAAGUGUAAGGAGGUUUCGGAGGGGUUCUGAGAGCAUUAUUCUGAUUAGAAUUGAAGGUGAUGUUGGAAUAUCUAUGGCCCUGUGGUGGAGUUCGAGCAAUAGCAACAGGGGCAUAUUUUUCCUCAAAUAAUUUAGCCAGUGACACAGCUCUCAAUAAAUUGGUAGGACUCUGAGCUACCACAUCUCGUCUAAUAUCUUUGUUCAAUCCACUUAAAAAGCAAUUUAAAAGAACUUCAGAAGUUAACCCAUCAGAGCGAUUGGCUAAACUCAUGAAUUUCAAAUAAUAAUCAGCAACUGUACCAGUUUGUGUCAAUUUGAACAACUCAGCCAUAGGGUUAUCAAACGGGGAAGGACCAAAUUGUGAUUCCAAAGCAUAAAUUCCAAGACUGGAAGACAUUCUCCUUUUGCAACAUCUGAAACCAUGGAAUGACAUCCUUCUCAAAAUGCAUCGCAUCUAUUUCCACCCUCUCCAAAUCUGGAGUAUUGUGGUAAUUGAAGAAUUUUUCUACCUUAAAGAUCCAUUAUAACACAGGCGUUUGACCAUCGAAGUGAGGAAAACCCAGCGAUAUGUCGCAAACAGGCAUCGCUACAGGGAACACCCCUGAAUUUGCAAACUGUGAUCCAUUCUUUGAGCUCGUAUCACCAACGUGCUGAGUUUGAAUCUUGAUUAAAUGAUCAAUGGCUAUCUGGAUUUGAUUCAUGCGCUGCUCUGUUUUGUCAAUCAGUUCUUGAUUCAACUUAUCUCUAUCAUUUUGCUUUUCCAUCCAGCUCACCAACGAAGUAACCUAUGUCUGUAAAUCCUUUAAACGUGUGUUCUCAGUCAUUGGAGUCAACGAAAGCACCAAUGUAACAGUAAUGAAACAAUACUAUGAUAGGAAAAUUUAGAAGGGAAUGAAUCUUAUUAAUAGGAAUAAGUGUCUAUGUCAUCCACACUAUAACAAGAAGUUCCAGGAUUCUGUAAAAGAAAAAAAUAACAAAUAGAAUCCCAAAAACACUAGUUGCUGCAUAAACAGAGCAUCAUCCUACAUAGCAAAAAGGGAUAAGGUCAGAGAGCAUAAAGAGUAGUGAGGAAAUUUCUGGAAGAGAGAGAAUACAGAGAGAAACUUGCCACAUUCCACACACGCCUCCUCACUAACGCAUGAAUCCUUUUAUAAGGGAAUUUUCCUUAUGCAUCCUAGUGUUGCGUCUGCUUUCCACUUUAUGUUGAUCAAGCUCCACGUGUCCCUGAUCAAGCUCCACGUGUCCUUCAUUCCUAACAGCCUGUGCCUCACUCCCAUCAUGCUUUAGCUCACGUGUUACAGUUAAGGUUCAGUUACUCUUCUAAAAGUAAAAAACUAGAAAAAGGUAAAAAAGGGUAAAAAAGUUAAAGAGAAAGAUUAUUUCUGUAAAUAAAAAAAAAAUGUAGAAAAUUGGGGGAGGUGGAGGAAGAAAAUGGGGAGGUGGAGGAAACAACCCCCGGAAAAAUUUCUUAAAAACCAACAUCAGCUCCAGCCGUCUCUAAUUUAUAAGAUAUACCCAUAAAAAGCCAGUGUUCAUAUCGCAAUAUUAUAAUGGAAAAAUGUGUUUUUUAUUGACCAAGAGAUCAUUGGGAGAAAAUUUCUCUACAACACUUCUAAGAAAGAAAAUCAAGAUUAACUUUAGUUUAUGAUAUUGAGUUGAUUUUCUUCCUCAAUAUUUCUUACGACAGAAAACUAAAAAAAAUAUUUUGUUUUAUAAACUACAAUUAUCUUAUGCAUAAGUUGAUUUAUAAAAAAACUUAUAUAAUUAACUUAAUACAUAUAUUUUGGUUCUUAUUUUUGUUAAUUUUAUUCAAAGUCAUCUUAAGUUCUUUUACAUUUAAAAUGGUUUUUUAAUUUGUAAAAUUUAUUCAUUUGCAUCGUUUUCGCUUAAAUAGCUAACUUUGUAAUGUCAUCUCAACCAAUAUUAAAUGAAUGAUGAGUUUUGAAUAUAGGUGACAAGGGCAACGGUAUGAGGUAGUGCAAAAGUCCAACAAAAAUUUGAUAAAAAUUCAAAUGUGAUGAUGUAUGUGUUAACAUUGUAUUUAGCAAUUUAUGAAUUCUCCUUCUCUGUCUUGCAGUAUUAGUUUCUCUUUCUAACUAUUCAUCACCUCUUAUCAAUUCCUUUCCAUGGAUAACGCCUUCUCAUCCUACAAACUCCCACGGAAGUAUGAUGUGCUCAUCAACUUCACUGGAGAAGACAUCAACAGAAAAUUUGUUUCUCAUCUCAAUUAUGCCUUCUCUACUGUUGGUCUCACCACUUUCCUUCAUCACCCCAAUGCAGUGAAGUCAACUCACAUUCAAGAACCUGUUCUCAGCCACUGUCGUGUAGUAAUUGUUGUUUUCACCCAAACCUAUUCUCAAUCUGCUUGGUGUCUUGAUCAGCUUCAACAAAUCAUCAAAUGGCACGAAACUUAUUGCCGACAUGUUCUGCCCGUAUAUUAUGAAAUCCAGCCAUCUGAUGUACGUCUUCAGAAGGGUAACUUUGGAAAAGCCUUGAAGGCAACUGCACAACAAACAUUUUCAGGUCAAGAACUGAAGCAUGGCAUGUCUAGGUGGAGCCAAGCAAUCACCAAAGCUGCAAAUCUCUUCGGAUGGGAUGAAAGCAAUCACAGGUACAUCACUCACUCAAUCAACAAUCUUUUAAGCCUCCGGUUUCAUUUUGUUAAUACAUGACUUCUUUUAUCAUUGCUCUUGAACUUCAAGGAGUGAUGCUGAAUUAGUGGAGAAAAUUGUUAAGAGCGUUGUUAAUUUGCCAGCCUUGUCUGUUACUAAAUUUCCAGUUGGAUUACAAUCCCACUUGGAAGAUCUGUUUCGAACUAUCAAAAAUAAAUCCACGGAAUUUUGUAUGAUCGAGAUAUGUGGAGAGGAAGGAUCUGGUAAAACAACUCUUGCCAAAGCGAUCUACAAUCAAAUUCAUUGGACGUUCAAGGAGAAAAGUUUCAUUGAAAAUAUUUCACAAGUUACCGGAACAAGAGGGUAUAUUCGUUUACUAGAACAACUUCUUUUAGAUGUCCUAAAACAAAAGGUGGAGAUUCCUAGCGUUGAUGUGGGAAAUAAAAUGAUUCGGGAACGACUUUAUGGAAAAAGGCUACUCAUUGUACUUGAUAAUGUGCUUCACAGCUAUGAACUUUUAGAAGUAUGGACAUAUAAUCAUUAUAGGUUCAGCAAAGGAACUGUAAUAAUAAUUACAACAAGCGAUGAAAACCUACUGAUGGGCCAGCCGACAUAUUCUAUGUUUCGGAUAGAGCGAAUGAACGCAGAGGAGUCCCUUGAGCUUUUUAGUUGGCACGCAUUUAGAGAACCAAAACCAAAGGAAGAAUACGAAGACCUUGCAAGAAGAGUAGUUAGUUAUUGUGGAGGACUACCACUAGUUCUUGAAAUCAUUGGAAGUAGUUUAUUUGAAAGGACGGAAGAAGAAUGGCAUCGUGUACUGUUUGCGAUAGAUGGCAGGCAUCGUGUUUCAGAGAUAAUAAAAGUAAGCAUCGAAGGUUCACUCAAUGAAAUGGAAAAAUAUAUAUUCGUUGAUGUAUGUUGUUUGUUUGUCGGUAAGAGCAGAGCCUAUGUUAGGAAGAUCCUAAAGGGCUGUGGAGUAGAUGCUGAUAUUGCAAUAAGAGUUCUCAUCCAGCGUAACCUCAUCAAAAUUGACAACAACAAAAAAUUUCGAGUGCAUCCUUUGCUACAAAAUAUCGGAGGACAAAUUAUUCAUGAAAAAGUAGUAGGAGAUUUUGAGAAGAACAGGCCACCGUCAAAAUAUGUAAGAACAUUCUUUACAUGUGGUUUGAAACUUCUUUUAAAAGCGUUUUCUUUCAGCUGUGCAGUACAACUUUUUUUUUUUUAUUUGCUUUUUUCAUCACAGGAGACAGAAGCCCUGCAGUGGUUGCCUGCGAAACUGCUCGCUGCCAUCGAAAGUGUGCAGCCGACUUUAAAUUCUCAGUACCUUUUUAAGAAACUAAGAUGGAUCAGUUCGUAUGGGCUUUCUUCAGAAUGUCUGCCUAACAACUUCUAUUGGGAUGAUGCAACAGUGAUUGAUUUGAAACGAAGUCUUCUUCAAUUUCUCUGGAAAACACCCCAGGUUUUAUUACCAGCCACUUCUCUUUAAAACACAACUUAAUUAAAAUAAAUUGGUAACUUGCUAUUAUUUCAUUUUUUAUUUCUACUCUAAUAUUUCUAAAAUGAAAAACUAUUUUGGAGCAGGUUUUGAGAUCGCUAAAAGUCCUUAACCUCAGUCACUCCACGGAUUUAACUACAACCCCUGACUUUACCGGAUUACCAAGUCUUGAACACCUCAUUUUGAAAUAUUGUUCUAGAUUGCGCAAACUACACCAAUCUAUUGGAUCACUCAACAGUCUUAUCCUACUAAAUUUGAAAUUCUGUACAAGUCUAAACAAUCUUCCAACAGAGAUAUAUGAGUUGAAAUCUUUAAGAACCUUCAUUCUCUCUGGUUGUUCCAAGAUUCACAUAAUGGAUAAAGAUAUAGCAAAGUUGGAAUCCUUGAUAACUCUAAUUGCUGAUACACCUGUCAAACAUGUGCCUUUUUCAAUUGUAAGCUCAAAAGGCAUUGGAUAUAUGUCCCUACUAGGAUUUGAGGGAUUAUCUUAUAAUCUUUUUCCUUCUAUCAUUCGGUCCUGGAUGUCCCCAACAAUGAAUUCCAUUUCUUAUAUUCAUUCGUUUUGCAUGGAUAUCGAGGAUAAUACGAUUGAUAUUGCACCAUUGCUUUGCACCCUUGCACAUAUUCGAAGUGUUUUGGUAGCAUGUGAAACCGAAUUUCAACUAUCUAAGCAAGUGACAAAUAUUUUGGUUGAAUAUUUUGCGAAUAUUACAGAAUUAGGAAUUUCAAAGCAGCACUUGAGGUGUUCUCUGAUUGGUGUUGGAGCAUACCAUCAAUUCUUAAAUGCUAUCAGUGAUAACAUAUAUGAGGUUCUUCUCUAUCUUCGUAUCUCUUUCUUACCUUCACUAUCAUUAUAGCUAUUAAUCAAGAGAACAUAAAAUACUCCUAAUGAAAUAUCUGACUGAAACUACAAUAUUCAAUUUUAGCACACUUAAUUUCUAUUGCCAUAGAACCUCAUCUAAAGGUUUCUUAUUUUGGUAAUCAACUAAUCAAGUGAUUUUGCUUUUAUUUCAAUACUUUCUUACCUUAUUGUACUGGCUUCACGAUUGUUAUAUUUCCAAUCGUCGAAGAGAUAUUCUAAUAGAGACAAAAACAUAAAUGCUUUGUAAAUCACUAACGAAGUAAUGAUGAUACAUACAGAACAAAACUAUUAAUCAGAUUUGUUUAGAUGAAUUACCAUUGGUAUGUUUUGAUUAUGUACUGCAUUGUUGUUUGUUUGAUUAUAAGUGCCUACUUUGUAAUUAUUAACGUUAAAAUAAUUAUUAUAGAAGACAUUUUGAAUAAAAAAAAUUAAAUAAAUGACCAAACCUUUUAUGUUAUGGUGCAGCUAUUGGGAAGUAGUGAGUCUGGAGAUGUUUGUCUCCCAACUGUGAAUGAUCCUUAUUGUAUGGCCCAUAUGGGUGAGGGACACUCUGUUUCUUUCACUGUGCCUGAAGAUCGUGACAUGAAAGGAAUGGCUUUGUGUGUUGUUUAUUUAUCAAAUCCUAAAAUCAUUGAACCUGAAUUUACUACUGUCAUAAUUGUUAAUUACACAAAGUGUACAUUCCAGAUACACCACCAUGGCACAGUAAUUUCUUUUAGAGAUGAAGAUUGGCAUGACAUAAUGUCAAAUUUAGAAUCUGGAGACAAUGUGGAAAUUUUUGUGAAUUUCGGUAAUGGAUUGGUGGUAAAGAACACAACAGUGUAUCUGAUAUGGGGUGAAGCAGAGAACAUGGAAAAAGCGUCUGAGCCAAAAAAACAUUCUCUCAUUAGAUUCGUAAAGAAAGUUGUAAUGUGACUUCUGAUAAGUCAUUUAUUUAUGUUCUUUGAGAACAGCAUGAUCACUUUGGUAAUGGAAAUAAUCCUACUGUUCGUGAUUGCUAUUUAUAUUUUCCCAUCCUUUCCUUGUUUUUCCAUUGAGUAUAGCUUACAGUUAAGAAAUUCAUGUUUGUUUUGUAAGCUAUUUUAUUUUUCAAUUUCUAAAAUUAUACAGGAUGUUAAAUUCUAUGAUUCUUAUAAAUUUUCAUAUUCAUAAAUAUAAAAGCAAAAACUUAUCUAGAACUAUUGUAAAGUUUUUUAAUCCAUAUUUUUUUUCUCUUACUUCUCUUUAAUAACUUUUAAUAAUAUAGAAUUACGCGAUUAAAAAUUCUCUGUUAAAAAUUAUAUCUUUCGUUCAUAGAAGAACUUAACUUUUUCCACUUUUUAUAAAAGUAACUAUCAUUACCUUAUUUUAAAAACAUUAAUAAAAUACUGAAAAUGUCCUUCUUGAAGUGAGAAUAGAGGAAUUAAUUUUAUCACCCAGUAUUAUACCAUAAAUACUUUUAUCACCUAAUAUUACAAAAUAAAUAAAUACUUACUUUUAGAAAAUAUUAAAAUAAAAAUAAAAGUUAUUUUUAUUUUAUCCGAAUUUUAUAGUUGAUGCAUAAAGAUGUGGCAUUGCAAGAUUCUAUGUUUUUUUUUUUCACGAGAAUAGGAAGAAAAGAGAAACUGAAUAAUAUUAUUUAGACUAAAAAUACAUUUAUAAAAAGUAUAUAUAUUUUAAGUAACAUAAUACAAACUCAAACUUACAACUUACACGAUACAAAAGAAUGCAAAGUAAGUAAAAAAAUUACUGAUAACAAUUUAUCUUUAAUUAUUUUAAAAAAGAAAUCAGCACAAACUCUGGUCAUUCCAACACCAUUGAAAAAUAAAACAAUUUUUAUCACUAAAUUACGUGAUUAAUUAAUUGAUUUUAUCAUUUUCUUAAGUUUAUCGGUUUAGCACCCUGGAAUGCAAGACUGUUAAAAUCAAAUAAAAAACGCUUGAUGUGUUAACAAUUAUGAAGAAAUGAAAGUAUGUUUUUAUUGUGGAAUAAAUGAACCCAACUCAACUACGCGUAUAAACUCUACUAUAAAAAAUAGCCUCUCAUUUAACAAAACAUCUGUCGUCGCACCUAUAUGCAUUAUUAUGAUACUUAUGCGAAUAUAUAUAGAGAUAUAUAGAGAGAGAAUAUACAUAUAUAUCAUUGACAUAGGAUUUCUGAUACAUUUGUUCGAGAAUUUGAAUUCAUUUCUCUGAUUUUGAUGGUAUUUGUUUAUUAUUUCUUUAAAAUAUACCGAUUUUAAUAUUUUAAAUAUAUUAAAAAGAUUAAUAUAUCAAAAUUUGUAUGUUUUGAAACACAGAAAAAAAACAAUAUCAAAAUUUCAAUAGAGAAUUUAGAUUUCGUUUCGAUAUUGUGAGAUAAAAUAUUUCUGAAUAUUUUCAGUAUGUCUUUUUUAUUUACAAUUUUUAAUCCUUUUAAAAGUAGUAGUAGGUUUCAUAUGCAUAAUUGUUUUAAUUUUAUAAUUUUAACUAUUAUGACAUUUCUUAACUAUUUUCAUCAUAAUUCUUUUAGUUAAAAAUUACUUCUAGUUAUCCAGUUGUAUUGGAUUUUAUAUGUUGUAAUUUCAAAAUAGACAUGUGAUUUACUGGAUUUGGAAUUUUUUUUAACAUUUCUUAUGAUUUUUAGGUCAAAACAGAUUGUUAAAAUUAGUAAAAGAAUCCAUAUAUCGUAUUAGCUUAAAUUUUGUAAUUGGAUUUAUAGAACUAAUAAAUAUAUGUUUGUUACAUACUUUGUUACUUAAUUAUGUACUCUAAACUAGUAGACAUGGUUUAAUUUUUAGUUUUAAAAACUGUGUCUUCAUCUCAAAUAAAUUUUUAGUACGGAUUAUGAUACUAAAAUAAAGAAUUCAAGUUUAACUCGAUCUAGCAAAAUAAUGUUGAAAGAUAAAGUUUUACAUAAAAAAAUCAAUUUAUCGAGUUCCCUCUCCUAUUACAUUUUGGUCAUCAUAAGCAUAAACUUUCCUUGAAGUUGUUGCGUCCAAGUCUUAGAAUAAAAUCUGGAAAAUAAUGAGGAAGAAGAAUAUCAUAAUAGAUGUUAAUAAUUGCCUUCCAUGAGUGUUAAUAUAGAUAUAAUGUAUUUCGUCAAACACACAUGAGACUUCAUUUUCGUGUUUAAAAUGUUUUUUCUUAAUAAAUAUCCAAAUUGUUUAGUUUCUUAAAGACCAUGCUUGUAAUUUAUAAAAAUAAGUGCUCUUCCAAAAGAGAAUUCUCGAGAAGCUUCUAGUCUCGCAAAAGAGAUAAGCGACCAUGGAGAAGCGAAAAACUAAGACCCAGAACAUGGAGAAAGCUGGAAGCAACAGGUAGGAAAACUCAAUCUUAGACUUUGUAAUAUCCAAAUAUAAAACUUUGUUUCGUUACAAAUGGUAAGAGAAAAGGAAGAACCCUAUAUAUAGGGUUCCUUGGGAAAAAGGGGGAAAACUGAAAAAAUGGGAAUCCUAAUUAAUAGACCUAAUUUUACCUAAAGAGUAAUCUAACUGAUUAAUUUAGUUCUAAUAGUUUUCCCUCAAGUUGGAUGGUUGUUAAGACUGCAAAACCAAUCGCAAGUGCACCGGUCGUAGCGUAGCAAGUGAUAAAUAUCGUUCUCUCCCAAGGGACUUGUGCAACACAUGAUAAUUCUUCCUUUUAUAACUCAAUUAGACAUCAAAGUGCACAAAAACAACACAAGAAACUCUUUUUGGUAUUUUAUCAAACAGUUGGUGUACAAGGAAUUUAACAUAGUGUAUUUACAAUUUGUCAAGACUAGAGUUCAUCCAUUUCAUUCUCAUGCAUUUACAAACAACUCAAUUCCAUCAUUUGGUGUUCAAUUUCAGUUCUAAGUUCAAGUCAUAUUUUCCAAUACAUCAAGAACUAGAAUUCAAGCCAUGGGUGAUCAAGCCACAACAAGCAUUAAGCAUAGAAAUCAAAUACUAACAUUGAAAUGGAAAAGCAUAUAUCAUUAACAUCACAAAAUACAUAAGAAUUCCAUGUUUUACAACUAAUCUCAACAAAUAGGAAAAAUCCUCUAUGGUGGAGAACUUAGGGUUCACAAAAUUGAAGAGAUAAGGAAGAAAUUGAAACCAAAGAGAAGAUGCAACGCCUUUCCCAAGGUUCUUGGCAGCUGCUCCAUGCUCCAUUUGCGCCUCCCCUUCGCAUCUCCAUCUUCAAUUUGUGACUCAUCUUCUUCCUCAAUCCAAAAGGGGCAAAAUAACCAUUGAUGAAGCUUGAAGACCCAAGGAGGAGUGGGAAAGCUUCCCAACACCCCAAAUAGCCUCUAAGGGCCUCUCCCAAUCUUUCUAGGUGAAGAAUGAAGUGUAGGAGGAGAAGAAUCCCCAAAAAUCGCGAGACCCAUGUUUAAAUAACCCAUUUUUGACACAUCAGCGGAAAGUCGUGCCCAGCGCCCCCUUCUAGGGCGCCCGAGCACCAUAAAAACACAAAACAGCGAAUCAAAGGGCGCCCAGCGCCUUCCAAGGGCGCCCGAGCGUGAAAUCUCCAAAAAAAGGGGCGCUCAGAAUGAAGUGUAGGAGGAGAAGAAUCCCCAAAAAUCGUGAGACCCAUGUUUAAAUAACCCAUUUUUGACACAUCAGCGGAAAGUCGUGCCCAGCGCCCCCUUCUGGGGCGCCCGGGCACCAUAAAAACACAAAACAGCGAAUCAAAGGGCGCUCAGCGCCUCCUAGGGGCGCCCGGGCGUGAAAUCUCCAAAAAAAGGGGCGCUCAACGCCCUCCUAGGGGCACCCGGGCGCGACAGCUUUGACAGCAUUCUAAAAUUAAGGCUCUUGCGCGAUUCCGAAGGCGUCCAACAUAGGUAUUUGCUUCAAAUUGAUCUUUUAUGGUCUCAAAACAUGUUCCCUUGAGUUCUUGCUUGUUUUCCUCCACUAGAAUUGCUUCCUAUGCAUUUAUUUCACACACUCAAACAUAGAGAUUAGAGGUAAAAAACAAGCAUAUACUAAAUAAAACACAAGAAAACUAGAAAACACACUAAAUGUGAGGAUAAAACAAGGUAAAAGCUAUGAAGGAGUUGAUUUUGCUACUAAACUGAUGCUUAGAUAAUGGUAAGAAUUAGCAUUAUCGAUGGUGUGUACUCACUAAUCCAAGUUUGGGAACGAUGGAUCAUAACCGCACACGAUAGGGAAACUUGGUAAAGAGGUAAGCUAACUGUUCAUCUGAAUGAACUGGAAGCAGAUGUAAGAGAUUAGCCUAGAUCUUCUCACAAACAACAUGGCAAUCUAGCUUUUUGUGGUUCGUCCUCUCGUGAAAGCUCUGGUUAUGAGCUAUAUGCCUUGCAGACUUGUUGUCAAGGUAGAGCGCAAGAGUGCUAAUAACUUAAACUUGAAGAUCUUGAAGAAGAUAUUCAAUCCACUGUAUCUCACAUACAGUGGCUGCUGGAGCACGAUACUUUGCUUCGGUAGAAGAUCUGGAAACAAUGCUCUGCUUCUUGGAUUUCCAUGAGAUGAGAGAUGAGCGAAGGAAAACGCAAAAACCCCAAGUAACUCUUCGUUUUAUACAAUGAACUCGUAUCACUUAGAAAGGGGGUAGAACAUGGUUUGCAUCCUAGCAUUCUCGUUUCUUCAAGGAUGUCUAAAGCAUAUUUCCUUUGACAUAGAUGAAUUCCUUUCUUAGAUCUGGCCACUUCAAAGCCUAGGAAUUAUUUAUGUUCUCCCAAAUUUUUUAUUUGGAAUCUGUUAUGCAAAAGAACCUUUAUGUGAUUGAUCUCUGUCAUGGAAUUCCCUGCCAAUAUGAUGUCAUCUACAUAGACAAGUAAGGCUAUGAAAUUUUUAGGUGUCCUUUUGAUAAAAUGUGAGUGGUCAAAUUUAGAUUGAAUAUAAUUGACAAAAACAAGAAAAGAGGACAAAUUUUCAAACCACAGCCUACUAGCUUGUUUUAGUCCAUAUAAAGACUUAGUAUGUCUGCAAACCUGACCCUUUUCAUGGACAUUAAGACUAGGUGGUGGCUCCAUGUAAACUUCUUCAUUUAGGUCCCCAUGUAGGAAAACAUUGUCAACAUCAAGCUGGUGUAGAAACCAGUUAUUGGAAGUUGCAAGAGAAAUGAGUAAUCUAACAAUAGUGAGCUUGGCAAAUGGGGAAAAGGUGUCCAAAUAGUCUAUCCCUUCUUGUUGGGUAUAACCUUUAGCUACUAGGCGAGCAUUAUAUCUUUCUAUGGUGCCAUCAGCCUUGUAUUUAGUCUUGUAUACCCACUUACACCCAAUGAGGGUUUUUCCUAGAGGUAGUUGUGUCAAAUACCAAGUGUUAUUAUCCUACAAGGCCUUGAUUUCUCUCUGCAUAACUUCUGCCCAUUCACACGUGUUUUCAACCUCAUUAUAGGAGUGCGGCUCAUUAUUUGCAGUGAUGGCCAGAGUAUACCUCAAGAGUUUUUCUAAGAAAGAAUCACAAGAUAACAUAUAAGAAAUUGGAUAAGGGGUUUUAAAAUUGUUCUUUAUAGAUAAGGAUUGAUUAACCUGAUGCACAUAGUCAUUUAGGUACCCGUGAGCCCUUCUAAUUUGGUUAGAUCUUCUGCAACUAUGAUUUUCUUCACUUUCAGUGGUGUUGUUAUCGUUGUUCUUGUCAGUGGCAAUCUGUUGUGUUUGUCUUUGAUCAUCAAUAGGAUUGUAGCUACCUAGAAGAUCAUUAAGAAAAGUAGUCUUAUAUGCCUUUUCAUUGUUAGCUUCUCUGUUGUUUUACUGGUCUUUGUAGGGAAAAAUAUCUUCAUAAAAGAUAACAUUUCUACUUAUGAAAAGUUCUCUAGUGUUGAUGUCAAGGAUAAUGAUUCCUUUGACACCAUUCUUGUAACCAAGGAAGAUUUCCUUCCUAGCUCUUGGAUAAAGUUUACCUCUGUUGUUUUCAAGAGUGGAAGCAAAGCAUAGGCAACCAAAAGUUUUUAAAUUCAAAUAAGUAGGGGGGCAUCAUACAUAAGGUCAUCGGGUGUUUUAUUAGUAAGAACAAGGGAAGGCAAUGUAUUUAUUAGGUAAAUAGCGCGACUGACAGCAUAGGACCAAUAAGCAUUAGGCACAUUAGAUUGAAAAAAGAAGGCUACGAGUCACAUUGAGUAUGUGUUGAUGUUUGCGCUCCAUAACAAAAUUAUGUUCAGGAGUUUCAACACAGCUCCUUUGAUGAUUGAUGUCAUGCAAAUCAUACAAGUUAACACAAUUAAAUUCGGGUCCAUUAUUUGAUCUAAUAGUUUUAACAACUUUAUUAAACUGAUUUUUAAUCUUGAUAAUAAAGUUAUGUAACAGAUCUCUAGUUUGGCCUUUAUUGUGCAUUAAAAAGGCUCAAGUAUGUCUGCUAUAGUCAUCAACUAUAGUAAGAAAAUACUUAUGACCAUGAAUAGAGGGACUGUAAAUAGAAGGAAUGGAAAUAGGACCCCGUAUAUCAUAGUGAAUCAUUUCAAAACAUUCAGUGGACAAAGAAGAACUUCUAGAAAAAGGCAAUUUAUGUUGUUUAGCAUAGCGACAAGUAUCACAAACAAUAUUAGGAGUCAUUUGCACAUAAGGAAAACUUUCACAUAUUUGUUUUACAGUUCUGUGUUCUAGAUGGCCUAACCUAUAGUGCCACAAACUUAUUUUUACAUGUUCAUAAGAGAAAACAGAUUUGGAAAUGAAAUCACUGUUAGAGUUAGGAAAAGCUUGUAAGUAGUAGAGACCCUUGUAAGCACUAGCACACCCAAUCAUCUUCAAUGUAGAGUUCUCCCUUAUCUGACACACCUCGGAGGAAAAAGUUGGACUGUAGUUUAAGUCUUUGAUAAGACUUUGAACAUAAAUUAGAUUAAAGGAAAAAUCAGGAAUAUACAAAACAUUAAAGAUAAUAAAAUCUUUAGAGAAUUGAAUAGUUCCUGCAUGUUCAGUAGUGAUAAUAGAGUUAUUUGGGAGUUUGACAGAAAUGGGUUUGAUUUUAUAAAAGGUUACAAAAUUCCUUUUCUCGUGGGUCACAUUAUUAGUGGCCCCAAUGCCAAUGAUCCAAGAAAGGGUACCUUGUUUCUCUUCUGUGUUAUUUUUCUGCAUUUGGUUUACCUUAUGAGCAGAAUCAUCAACCUUUUCUAUCAUUCUGAGAAGUUUUUGCAUCUGCUCUUGGGUAAAAGAAUUGAAGGCAACAUUGGUGCUAACUUAGUUAAUGGGUUGAACAUCCUUUGGGCCAGAGUUGCUUUGGCAGAUGUUGGUAGAAUUCUAGUCAUUCUGGUUCUUUCUGUCUUGAUUAUUGUCAGUUCUUUUGUACCAAGGUGGAUAGCCAUGCUUGGAAUAACAUUCAUUCACAGUAUGAUUCAUUUUGUGGUAGUAGGAGCAUUGUUUUCCAUGGUUGGGAUUUCUCCCUCUUCCUCUUCCUUGGCCACAUGACCCAGCACCACGUCCCUAGUUCUUCCAAUUUGGUCUGGUUUCUAAUUGUUGUUUCUGUCAAUAGUAUUGGCUAGAAUUCUGGUAUCAAAAUUUUCGUUGGCAGUCCUAAUGUCUUGUUUUUCUUAUCUUUCUUGUUGCAUGACAAGAGAGAAUACAUUAUUGAUGUUGGGGAGAGGAUCCAUUAAGAGGAUUUGGGUUCUCACAAUAUUAUAGGUAUCAUUCAGCCCCUUUAAGAAACAUAUAACACGCUUUAUUUCUCUGUACUUAAGAGAAAUCUCUGAGAGCUCACAAUUACAAGGGAUAUCACGCGUACAAGUAGGUAUGGGUCUAAGGGAUUCUGACUCUCCCCAAAGGAUCUUUAAAACUGUGAAAAAUUGACUGACAUUUCUUUCUCCUUGUUUGAUAGAACGAAAGUCUUGGAGUAUAUCAGAAUUUUUGAAAUAGUCACCUUUAGAGAAUCUUUCCUUCAAUGCAUCCCGUAACUCUUUGGCAUCUUCAACAUACACUACACUUUGUGCAAUCUGUGAAGAAAGUGUCUUUAUAAUCCAAGAAAGAACCAUCAUGUUGCAUCUUUCCCAUGCAUCAAAUAAAGUAUCACUUCAUUGAGGUUUCUUGAUCGAUCCAUCAAUGAACUUGAUCUUAUUUUUAAAAAGAAGAGCUCUUCUCAUGCUUCUGCUCCAAGAAGAGUAAUUAAUUUCAUUUAGGACUUGAGAGAUGAGAGUAAGUCCAAGAUUCCAGGAUGUAAAUAGAAAGGAUUGGUAGGAUUGUUGGAUUGAUCUAUGUGGUCCAUCAUAGCAAGAUGUGGCCAAGAAAGCAACAAGAUUGCACAAAGAAAACAAACGGAAAUGAUACAAGCACAACGAAAACAGAGCAGGUAUUAAACCUGCUCUGAUACCAUUUUAAAAACGGUGCUAAAGAGAACUCUCGAGAAGCUCCCAGUCUCGUUAAAGAGAGAAGUGGCCAUGGAGAAACGAAAAACGAAAACCCAAAACAUGAAGAAAGCUAGAAGUAACUGGUAAGAAAACUCAACCUUAGACUUUGUAAUGUCUGAAUAUAAAACUCAUGUUUUGUUACAACUGAUAAGAGAAAAGGAAGAACCCUAUACAUAGGGUUCCUUGGGAAAAAGGAGGAAAACCUAAUUAAUAGAUCUAACUGAUUAAUGUAUCUAGACAAUAAUCUAAUCAAUUAUUUUAGUUUUAAUAUUUAAUUUUUUAAUUAUAUAUCAAAUCGUUUUAAUUUUGAUAAAAUAUAAAGGUAUUCUCAAAAUUUUCUAUGAGCAUUCCGAUAGUCAAUCCAAAGAACCAAGUUUGUAAAAAAAUAAAAAUAAAUAAGCCUCCAGAUCCUAUUUUAAAGUCAAAGUUUAUGUUAUAAUGAUUAACCAAUGAAAAAAGAAAUAGGUAUAAACGGAGUGAAGCAAUAAUUUAAUAUAGGACAUAACAUAACCUCUUUCUUAUAGACUUUCUUAUCAAUUUUUUUCAUAAUUUUUAAAACUGAAAUUUAUUCUCUUUAAAAAAAUAUUAGAUUAGAUUAACUAAUCUGAAAAAAAAAAUUGCAUAGCAAAUUCAUGGUUCAACCAACAUAGAAUGCAGCAGCCUGUAAUUUAUAAGAUAUGCCCAUAAAAACAAUAGUGUUCAUAUCACAAUAUUAUAAUGAAAAAAUGUGUUCUUUAUUGACCAAGAGAAUGUUUGGAGAAAAUUUCAUUUCUCUACAAAACUUCUGAGAAAGAAAAACAAGAUUAACUUUAGUUUAUGAUAUUGAGGUGAUUUUCUUCCUCAAUAUUUCUUACAAGAUAAAACUAGAAAAAAAAAUGAAAUAUUUUGUUUUAUAAACUAAAAUUCUCUUAAACUUGUGGUAUUGUUUCUUUAGUGUGCUUUUAAAAUAAUUAAAUUUUAAUAUAUUAAAAAAUUAUUGAUAUAUUUUAAAAUAUUAAAAUCAAAAGAUUUUGAAAAUCCAAUAAAAUGAUAGCAUAAAAAAAAAACUGAUUAAAGUCACUUCACAUCAUUUCAAUAAUCAUCAAUGAUUUUCCUUUUCUUAUCUUUUCUUUUCUUUCUCAAAAUUGGCUCCCAUCAAAUGAUGGGCAAAGAUUGAUCAUUCUGUAUUAUGUAGAGCUAUGAAAAGUGGUCAGACAGUAAUAUACGGAACAAAGCAUAUGAUAAUUCCAUGACUAUUCUUUCCCACACUCCCAGAAUUAUUAACUGCACCCUCAUAACAAUAGGAAAAGACUUAACCAUCUUCUAUUAAUGCCCUACAUUAUAGUCAUUGUUACAGUCACAAUGCUAAUGCUGCAGAGGAAGAAGAAGGAAGAAAACACUACAAAAGAAAAAAAAAAAAAAAGAGAGAGAGAAAAAAUGCAGAAAAAAAAUCAUUUUGAAAAUAUUUUUCUAGAAUGUAUUUCACUUUUUUCGAAAAAAUCUUUUCAGAAUAAUUUCAUGUGUUCCGGAAGAUAUUAUGAGUUUUGGAAAAUCUUUUCCAAACAUCUCAUUCUGAAAUAUUUAUUUCAAAACACAUUCUGAAAAUUCUGUUUGCAAAAUCACAUUUAAAAAAAUUCAUUCCAAAAAUUCUGUUCAGAAAAUUUUUAUUUCAGAUAUAUUAUUUCAAAAAUUGCAAAAUCUUUAUUCCGGAAAACUUUUGAAACAUAUAAUUUGGAAGUCAUUUUCCAGAGGAUAAAAUGGUUAUUUUAAAAAUUUGUAGGGAUUCAGAAAGAAAGAAAGAAUUUAUGAGGUGCAUGAAGUAAAAGCCUAAUUUCAUAGCUUUUCAGCCCACAUAAGGUUAAUUGGGCUACACAUUUUUUGUUUGCAUUUAUUAUUUGCACGAGCUUAAAUAAUUGAUGACAAAAAUUAUUUUGUCACCCAAUUUUCUAUUUGAUACCCCAAAGUAAAAUUUUGAGUUUUGAGUUUUGAAACCCUUAGCACCAGUUAUGUUUGUCCGUAUGGAGUUUCAUCUACAUCUCAAAUAUCUCAUUCAACACUUUCAAAAAUUACAAUUUUAACAUUCUGAUAUUGAUACCUUUAACUUUUUCAAAAAUUUCACUUUAUAUGUUUUAUCCUACAUCUCCAAUACUUCAUCCUUCUUACAUUUUUUAUUUUUUUAGAAAAUUUCUUUCUUAAUCUUAAUAAAUAUUUUUUUUAACUUUUUUCUCUUUUUUAUUAGAGUAACCAUAUACCUCUUUAACACUGCAUCCUCCUAACAAAUUUUUAAAACUUUGUUUUUUAUUUAUAAUUUAAUAACUAUUUAAUUUAAUUUAAAAAUCUAAUAUAAUUUAGUAUUUUUUUAUAUUUUAAUAAUUAUUAAAAUAUAAUUUAUAUUAUUAUAAUAAUUAUAUUAAAAAAGUUAAAACUAAAAUAAUUAAAAUAAAAGUAAUACAAAUAAGAAAAAGCAAAAAUAAUAAUAUAAAAUCUGAUUUGAUAUAUAUAAAAAUAUUAAAUUAUAUUAAAAUAUUAAAUUAAAUUAAAUUAUUAUUAAAAUUUAAAUAGAAAAUAAAAUUAAAGAAAAGAAUAAUCAUCGAUAUUGGUAUUCGAUACCAUAGUUAUCGAAUUUCCAAUUACGAUAAAAAAGUUUUUAAAAAUUUAUUUUUUAUUUAUAAUUUAUUAACCAUUUAAUUUAAUUUAAAAUUCUAAUAUUAUUUAAUAUAUUUUAUAUUUAAAUAAUUAUUAAAAUAUAAUUUAUUUAGUACAAUCAUAAUAUUAAAAAAUUAAAAUUAAAGUAAUAGUAAUUAAGAAAUCUAAAAAUUUAGAAAUCUUAUUUCAUUAAUUUAAUAUUUUAAUAUAAUUUAAUAUAUUUAUAUAUAUUAAAUCAGAUUUUAUAUUUUUACUUUUAUUUUAAUUAUUUUAAUUUUAACUAUUUUAAUAUAAUUAUUAUAAUAGUACAAAUUAUAUUUUAAUAAUUAUUAAAAUAUGAAAAUAUAUUAAUUAAUAUUAGAUUUUUAAAUUAAAUUACAUAUUUAUUAAAUUAUAAAUAAGAAAUAAGGUUUAAAUUUUUUUUUUAUUAAAAAAGUGUAGAGUUACCCUAAUAAGAAAGAGAAAAGUUAAAAAAUAUUUACUAAGGUCCGAUUUUUUGAAAAAGUUGGAGGUCUAAGGAUCAAACACCCUUGUCCGUAAGUGCCUUUUCAGGUAUCAAAUUUUUUGUUGUUUGAAGUUCUAAAUAAUUAAAUUUGUUAGGGAUCAACUAAGGCUAUUUUAUUCUCUUUCUUUAUGUUUUUCUUAUUUUUAUUUAUUUAUUUUAUUCUCUUUUCCAUCUCGAUUUAUUUUGUUUGUUUGUCUUUCAGUUUUCCCAUUUUGUUCUGACUUUAUUUUAUCCUUUUUACUUUAAUUAAUCCUCUUUAUUGUACACCCUUGUUUGUUAUUUUUAGUUUUUAAUUGAUUCCUUUUUUCCAUCGUUUUCUUAUUUUAUAUUCUCCCUUUCUCCUUUCCUUUCGAAUUUCGAUUCUAUCAUUUUCUACUUCCUUUUCAUUUUAUGCCUUUUAUAACUUUUUCGUAUUCUCUUCCAUCUUUACUUUUCUCUAACUAUUUAUUUAUUAUGAAGCGAAAGAAUACAAGGGAACUAUGGAAUUUUGUAAAAAAAAAAAUUAACUAAUCAAAAUUUCUAUAUUUUGACCAGGGAUAUAUUUCUUAUUAGUUUUAAAAAUAACUUAUCGCAUGAUGGAAUUUUUUUUUCUCCUUAAAGUUUUAUAAUUAAACUAUUUGAAUAGCUCGAAACUUGUUCAUAUAAUUCAAAAGUCUUAGUUAAAUUUAAUAGUAUCUCGACAUGCAAAAGAGUAUUUUAAAAUUCAAAUCCAAUACACCUCAAGAACACGGAAAAAGAAUAUUCGUCACUAGAAAAGAAUUUUCUUAUCGAGAGUUAUUCUUUUCUAUCGUAAUGGGAUAAAAUUUGAAAAAGAUGACCAAUAUACGUGAUUUUUAUAAAUGUUUAAAAAUAAUUACAUAUUAACAUUCGUUUCAUACCUAUUCUGAUCCCUCUUUUCGUGAGAUUUGUUCAAAGUCGUCCUCUUUUUUUUUUUUAAAAAAUUUCAUUAAAGUCUUAUUUUUUUGCAAAAACUUUGAAAGUUAAUCCUUUUUGCUUACGACGUUAAUUUUACUAACGGCAGAGCUGUCCAGCUGGCAAAUAUUUGAUGAGUUGUAAUGUUUUCGUUGUGCUAGCACUGUUAUGUGUUAAAAAAAAAUAAUUAAUUCUGACGUGGAAUUUAGUAAAGUUAGGGUUAAAAUAAAAAUUGAAUUUAGGGUAAUUAAGUAAAGUAAUUUUGGUCAGAAGCAAAUUUGGGUAAAAUUUGCGAUUGGGAUUUUUUGGGCGAUUUAGGGUUCAUCAAGCACCUUCAACAAUCUAGAGAUUUAGGGUUCAACAACCAGCUUCAACAAUCCAGCUUUGUGGUUCGUCCACAACCUUGUUUCGCGAGGUUAGUGUUCUUAGUUACUGAUCGCAUUAUUAAAUGUUUGUCAUUGAUUUAUGAUGUUUGUCGUGUUUAAUAAGUGGAUUGUGUGUUUGUUUUUUAAUGGGUCGAAUUACUUAAAAUAUGAUUUUAUUUGUCGCAAAUUGGGUGCUUAUUGUAAAAGUAGUCAUGUUGGGUGUUGAAAUUGGUCCCAUUGGUGUUAAUUUAUGAAAGUGCUCUCCCUUUCCAUUUGUAGGAUAGGGUUUGGGAUGUGUGACGAUAGGUUUAAGGUGGUGGUCCACCACGGUGGGACCUUGAUAAAAGACGUGGUUCCCUUUAAGUAUAUAGGUGGGGAGAUAUCUUCUUGGGACAUUAACCCUGACACAUGGAGUUUUGGAGUAGUUGCUUCAAUUAAAGAAAUGGGUUACAUGGAAGUAGAAGAGUUAGUUUACACUAUUGAGCAUAUUUUACAUGGCCUAUAUGACGACAUAGGAGCUAUGAAUAUGAUGAAAGUGGCUAAAUGUUUGGGAAAAAUGGACUUAUAUGUUGUGCAUAAAGUUAGCGAAGGAGAGGUUGUAGAAAUUGAGAAUGAGAAUGAAAUUCUUUACCUUUGCCAAGGCCUGCAUAGAGUGGUGAGGGUAGUGGGGAGGAAGAAGUUCAGAUGGAAAAGGAUGUUGUGGAACGUCCUAUUGACUGUGGUGAUAAGUUGGAGACACAUGAUGAAGUGGAGGUUGAGACACACGUGUGGUGGAGGUUAACGAAAAGGGUGUCCUGGAGGUGGAGGAAGUUGGUGCAGUUGAGGUGGAGGAAGUUGGUGCAAUUGAGGUUGAGGAUGUGGGUGCAGUGGAGGUGGAGGAAGUUGGUGCAGUUGAGGUUGAGGAAAUGGGUCCAGUGGAUGUGGAGGAAGUGAAUGCAGUGGACGUUGAGCAAAAAGUUCAAGUGGAUCCUUUGGAGGAAGUAGAAAACAGUGAGGAAGAAGUUGAAGUGGAUCCUUUGGAGGAAGUACAAAUCAGUGAGGAAGAAGUGCAAGUGGAUUCUUUGGAGGAUAGUGAUGAAGAUUACAAGGUGGAAGACAGUGGUAGGGGGUUGUCUGAUGAUGAUUCGAAGUCUGAAAAGCUGUUAACUCCAGAAGGUAGUGGUAGUGAGGAGGAUGACAAUGCGAACAAACCAAGUCGAUGUCCCUUUCCUACAUUUAGAAAGAAAAAGUCCAUGGCAGAUUAUAAAUGGGAAGUUGGUACUAUAUUUAAUGAUAAGGUGGAUUUUAAGGAAGCUAUUAGAAGCUAUGCUAUUCAUACUGGGAGGGAUCUUAAGUUUGUAAAGAAUGAUAAGCGUAGGGUUCGGGUGAGAUGCAUGGGUGGGCAAAAAAAGUGCCCAUGGGUAUUGUGGAUAUUUGCCAACAAGAAAGAUUUGGCAGUUAAGGAAGAUUGUUGAUACUCAUGCUUGCAGCAGGCAACUGAACAUUAAAAUGAUGAAUAGUAAGUGGUUGAGUCAUGAAAUAGAUAAGUCAUUGCAUGAUAAUCCAAGUAUAAAGGUACAAGAUAUACGUAAUAAAGCACUAAGGAAAUGGAACACCAAGGUAUCAAUUUCCAAAGCAAGAAGGACCAAGUUAAUGGCAACAAAUGAACGUGAAGGCGAUUUUGAAGAGUAAUUUAGAAGGAUUCUUGACUACGGACAUGAGGUCUUGAGAAGUAACCCACGGUCAACGGUAAAGAUUAAAGUGAACAGUGAUAAUGUGAGGCCAUCUUUGAAAGAAUUUAUGUUUGUCUCAAAGCAUGUAAGGACAAUUUUAUGAGUUGUAGGCCCAUCAUCUGUUUAGAUGGUUGUUUUUUGAAAGGUCUAUAUAAGGGAUAGCUACUUACCGCUGUUGGUAGGGACCCUAAUGACCAAAUGCUACCCCUUGCAUAUGCAAUAGUUGAAGUUGAAAAUAAAGAUAGUUGGAGUUGGUUUUUGCAAUUAUUGGUUGAAGACCUUGGGGGUAAUGAAAUAUGUGGAGCGUGCACGUGAAUGUCUGACCAACAAAAGGUACAUGCACUACUUACAUUAUUUUAUUCUUUUUACUUUAUGCUUUAUGUAUGUUUGAUUAAAAUAUUGAUGUUGUUAGGGGUUGGUACAAGCUAUUGAAGAGCUUUUGCCUAAGGCAAAACAAAGAUUCUGCAUCAGGUACCUUUAUGCUAACUUCAGGAAGCGGUUUACUGGUCAAAUAUUGAAGAAUUUGAUGUGGAGGGCUACCACAAGCACGUACCCCCAGGUAGGGCUGGGCAAAUAUAACUGAUCUGUACUGUACUGCAGUUAACUGUACUAUAUUAUACUAAAAAUAAUUGAACCACUUUUACUAACAGUUCAGUAUACUAUUUCAUGGUUCAGUUUUUAAAAACUGAACUUAUAACAGUUACAAUUCAGUUAACUGUAAGAACUGUAUCUACCCUUAUUAUAUCUUUUCUAGUUUCAGUUCAAUUGUUUCAUCUUGUCAAGAAAACUUUAUUUAAUAAUAAAAUAUUAAUAAAAAAAUUGUUCACAUAAAAAAAAUAAUUAAUUUUUUAAGACAAUUUUUUUAUCACAAAAUUUAUAUUUUUUAUCAAUAAAAAUAAAAAAUAUAAUUUAUAUUUUUAUAUUUUUAAGUUAUAUAUAUAUAUAUAUAUAUAUAUAUAUAUAUAUANNNNNNNNNNNNNNNNNNNNNNNNNNNNNNNNNNNNNNNNNNNNNNNNNNNNNNNNNNNNNNNNNNNNNNNNNNNNNNNNNNNNNNNNNNNNNNNNNNNNNNNNNNNNNNNNNNNNNNNNNNNNNNNNNNNNNNNNNNNNNNNNNNNNNNNNNNNNNNNNNNNNNNNNNNNNNNNNNNNNNNNNNNNNNNNNNNNNNNNNNNNNNNNNNNNNNNNNNNNNNNNNNNNNNNNNNNNNNNNNNNNNNNNNNNNNNNNNNNNNNNNNNNNNNNNNNNNNNNNNNNNNNNNNNNNNNNNNNNNNNNNNNNNNNNNNNNNNNNNNNNNNNNNNNNNNNNNNNNNNNNNNNNNNNNNNNNNNNNNNNNNNNNNNNNNNNNNNNNNNNNNNNNNNNNNNNNNNNNNNNNNNNNNNNNNNNNNNNNNNNNNNNNNNNNNNNNNNNNNNNNNNNNNNNNNNNNNNNNNNNNNNNNNNNNNNNNNNNNNNNNNNNNNNNNNNNNNNNNNNNNNNNAACAGUUCAGUUCAGUUUUUCUGAACUGUUUUACAGUUCAGUUCAGUUUGUCUGAACUGUUUUACAGUUCAGUUCAGUUUUUAGCAGUGCAGUACAGUUCAGUUCGAUUUGUUCACCCCUACCCCCAGGCUUGGGAGAGAGAGAUGUUGAAUAUGAGAGCAGUGAAUGAGGAAGCAUAUAAAUACCUCAUAGCCAUUUCCCCAAGGUAAGUUAUGUAUGAUAACCCAGUUUGAUGUGGAGGGCUGGCACAUGCACAUUUCAAUACGUCAUGUAUGAUAACCAAGUUUCUUCCUUCUUCUGCUACAGGUUUUGGUCAAGAUCUAGAUUCACAGCUCAAGCAAGUUGUGAUAGUCUAGAUAACAACAUCAGUGAAGGUUUCAACAGUGUUCUCAUUCAUGUCAGAGGAAAACCAAUCAUCACCAUGCUGGAGGAUAUUAAACUGUAUUUGAUGAAAAGAAGGGCCACCAACAAAACGAAGGUGGCAUCUAUGGAUUUCAAUGUUUGUCCAAAGAUCAAGAAGAGACUAUUAAAGGAAUCUAAUUUCUCUAGAUAUUGGAUCCCAAGGUAAUAUUGUUCUUCUGUCUUAUUUAUGUUUAUCUCCAAUUUUUGAAGAUAGUUAUUUAUGUUUAUUUGUUUCAGCUGGUCUGCAAAAAGGAUUUUUGAGGUUAGGCAUGUUUCAACUAUUGGGAACAAGUUCAAAGUGGACCUGGAUACUCAUGAAUGUAGCUGCAGGAAGCGGAUGAUCAGUGGCAUCCUAUGUUGCCAUGCAGUAGCAGCGACGCACUUUAUAAAUUUAGACCUAGAUUCUAUACCAACUUGGUUCAUGAAAUCGACAUAUGAAGAGACAUAUGCAUCCACCAUUUAUCCUGUGAAUGACCACCUCCUAUGGGAAAAUACAAGCUUCCCUGAUGUACUGCCACCAGUUAAGAGGAAGCUGCCUGGGAGGCCAAAGAAAAAAAGAAGAUUGGAGCCAUGGGAGCUAACCAAGGAUGGGACCCAGAUGAGUGUUAGUGGCCAUAGAAAGAAAUGUAGCAUCUGCCGUCAAUUGGGGCACAACAAAAAAGUCUGCCCUUUACGUCCAACCAUCAUAGAACCAACAGAAACAACACAACCAUCAGAAGCACAAAGUACAGAACAACCAGCAAGUCAACAAUCCCCAGCCACAACUACCAACUCAAGAUUCAAUCACAGAUUCAACUCCACCAAUAGCAAAGAAAAAUUUAACUAUUAGAAAGAAAUGUAGCAUCUGCCAUCAAUUGGGGCACAACAAAAAAGUCUGCCCUUUACGUCCAACCAUCAUAGAACCAACAGAAACAGCACAACCAUUAGAAGCACAAAGUACAGAACAACCAGCAAGUCAACAAUCCCCUCAGCCACCACUACCAACUCAAGAUUCAAUCACAGAUUCAACUCCACCAAUAGCAAAGAAAAAGUUAACUAUUAGAAGAAAAGUUGCAUAGAUUUAACUAAUAAUUUGGAUGACAACACUUUAGUGACACUACUUUAAUUUGGAUAUACAUGUAUGAUAACACUUUCAUUAUAUCUUUGAUAUUUGGAUUUAGAGAUGUUAUGUAUGACACUACUUUAAUUUGGAUGUACUGAUAUUAUGUAUGACAGUACUUUAAUUUGGAUGUACUGAUAUUAUGUAUGGCAGUACCUUAGUUUGGAUGUACUGAUAUUAUGUUGUGUUUAUGUUGUUUGUAUGUUCAUUUAGGUUUCCUUACCAUGUAUGACAAUAAUCUCCAUUAAGGGAGCGUCUUGCACAAUUUUUUAGUAAAAGGGGGACCACAAUAAACAUUUUUAAACCAUAAUGAGGACCGUAAUAAACAUUUUUAAACCAUCAUGAGGACUACAACGAAUUUUAUUACAAGAACCCAGAUUGUUCACUGAUAUUACAAUGCCAACUCAUAAUACAUGAACACAGCAUACUUGCACAUUGGUCACCUAACAUCAACCUUAACACAACCACAAUAUGAUAAUGUUAAGUACAAUAAGAACAAACAUAACUCCAACUAAGAACUUUAUCCUUCUCUGCAACUCUUUGACAUUACUUUCGAGAUUAGUCGUCCUCUUGCUUUGCCUCUCAUUUGUACCAUCUCUAUCAUCAGCCUUCUCUUCACAACACCAGUUGAAAAAGUUACAUGACAUCUGAUGGGUGUCGCCGCCCAAUCAAAUUUGAUUGCAUAAUAAGAAAUGCAGUAUAGCUAGGGAAUGACUCCUAGGUCGUCUCCCAAGGACCAACUGCGGUUCAAGAAUUAGGUCUAACACAUAGUGGGGGGGUUUGAAAUGUUCGUAAUUGCAAAUGACGAAAUUAAAAUGAAAAUUAAACACACCAAACAUAAUUAAAAAUCAUUAAAAUGAACACUAGAAUUAAAAUAAAAAUAAAGAUAAAAGAUAAAUCACUAAAAAAAAUAACAUGCUUGAUGAACCAUUUAAAUGCAAUGGAAAUAAAAUACCAAAUGGGUGACCAAUUGAGAUGCACGGAUGAAUCAACUAAUGCAAUUACUUGGAAUCUAACGGCUGGAAUAAAACAAACAACGUUGAUAAUAACUAAAUUGCAAGUGCAUCAUAAAAUAUUUAAAAGGCAAUAAAGGAAGUGUGAGCACCGCUUCAUUAAAGAAAAAGCAAAUAUUAUUCUAGAAUCCUGAUACAAUUGCAGCAACGUGUUCAUCCAAAAUUUCCAUCAAAAAGAAAAAAAAUAAAAUCCCGUGACAGCAGCUGUGUGCAUCCUCAAUCAAUAUGCUUCUUACUAACUUUAAUCAUCAUGUAAAGAAAAGAAAAUGAAAAUACAUCCAUUCAUUAGACAAAAUGCCAAAGCAUAAAACAACAUUUCAAAGCUUAUCUUUCAAGUGUUUAAAAGCAAAAGCCAAAAUAAAAAGAAAACUUGGUGUAGCGGCUGCACCAGCGUAAUGAAUCCUCCAGCCAAGAACCANCACCUUCUUCCAUUCCACCGUGACAACCACUUGUUUCUUCUAGCACCGUGCAGCUCACAUUCAUCCAAAAUCCAAUAAAAUAAACAUGGUUCCAAGAAAAACUUUGUAAAAGAAAAGGGUUCAAGCUAUCCUCCCUUGCGUCUCUCCGCUAGAAUCCCCCCUGACGGCUGUUGUCCUAGGAAUAUAUGGAGCCAAUCCCGAGACCACAGUGCCCUACUGCCAGCGUGGAUAAGAAAAUCUGCCCCUCAUUCCCUGCUACUGGGCUGUUGAGUGCACAUGGGCUGCUACCCCUCAACGUAGCUGGAUGUCACUCCCUUGAAGAAUGAAGGAGCUGCUGUGUGCACCCCUUCUGUCAAUGCUCACAUGGGCUGGCUGCUGCAGUGUGAAGGUUGCAUGGAGUCCUGGGCUGAGAAGCUCCUGUGGCUGCUGCAGGAUCAACGUAUGAGAUCAGAUGAAGCCCUCAUCAUCAUGUGUUGGGCUGCCACCUCCUAGCUUGAUGGAUGCGUGAAGGGAUCUGCACCAGGCCGUGAUGGUGGACCAAGGCUGUUGCUGUACCGAGCUUGCGAAAUGAACUUGGACGUGUGAAUGCAAAAUGGAGUGCAGGCCAAAAUCGUGACUUCAUCAGCGUGGGCUGCUGUUCGUGCGCGUCUUCAAGCAGCUGGAAGUUAAUGAAGGCUGGAUCAGGUUUAUUGAUUUCCUUGUUGCACCGUGAGAUAGCAGCCAAAAGUUUGUGCUGGACCAGCUCAAUCAAGCGCCGCUUCAAUCUGGGCCUUCGUGAAGCAUAGAGGUGUGGGCAGCAAUCUUCCAAGCUGGGCCCGCUGCUGUCUUCUAUGUGCUACAUUCUCAAAGAUGCUGAUGCUUCUUCGUAAAGGCUACGUGCUGCAGCCCGUGAUGGAACUGCUGUUUGUUGCUUCUAGGGGCUGCUGUGUGCAGAAGCUGGGCCGUGAAGGAGCUGGACCAAUGUUGCUGCCAUGUGGGAGCUGCUGGGGCGUGUAUAAUAUAGGCUGCAACACCACUUCUCCAAAUGCUAGGUGUGACAACGUGUUGAAGCUUGGGCCGUCUAAGUGCAUGGGCUGCAUCUCCAAUCUUAAAAGAAAUUAAAUGUUACCAUGACCAUGGUGUGUGCAUGGAAGUAUGGCAGCUGGUGGUGCAAAAAUAAAUUUUCUUCUGGAACGUGUAUGUCCAAAUCUAAAGCAAUCAAUGCCUCUCACUUCUUUUGCUGGACCUGCAAAGCCUCAUGUGCACCCCCAAUUUUAAUGUGUUGCACCCUCUUCUCAUAUGCCCCAAAGGAUAAAAUGACCAAGAUGCCCAACGUCUUGUGCACACUUCUUUUAUGAAGAGCCUUGAAUUAUGUGACAACCCUCAAUAUGACCAAAAUUAUAUUUCCAAAAUUUUCCCUAAAAAUAAUAAUGCAAAUAAUUAGCUCAGAAGAUUCAAAUUAAUUAAAAUUAGAAUUUCCGAUCAAAUUAAGCACAAUUAGGAAAAACGGGAAAAUACCGGACAUUUAAGCACAAUUCCCUGAUUAAAUUCGGUACAAUAAACUAAGUGCAGUCAAUAAAAUAUCGACUCAUCAACAUCCCACUUGUAAAUGCACCCUAUUAUUCAGGAAAAACACAAAAAUGUGUGAACAUAGAAAAUCAAUUGAACAUAAAAGUGACUAUGCUAUUAAAAAAACCUUGUAAUAACGACAUGCCCAAAAUUGUCUCCCAGCAUUCCUAGCAGUUUUCGCAACUUUCAUUACAGCAAAAUCACCACAGUGGCAAAUAGGGGUUAUCCCAACUCCCCUCGAAACAGCACCGUGUGAUGAAUGCGAAACUCUUUGGCCGUUGUCUUCAAACAAGAACCACAACUUUGUAUAGAAGUCAUUCCUAACCCUAACCCUAAGCUUUUAAAUUUGGAAAAGUCUAAACAAAAUCACCAAAAACCCUAACCUUUGCUUUUAAAUUUGGGAACAACAACCAUGAAUCACUUUUCUAACGGGAUGAUUUAGCAAUGCAGUCUAACACGUCAAAUGUAUUUGUACAACUCAUCAAAUAUUUGCCAGCUGGAGAGCUCUAUCGUUAGCAAAAUUAACGCCGUUAGCAAAAAGGACUAACUUUCACAGUUUUUGCAAAAAGUAGGACUUUAGUGAAUUUUUUAAAAAAGAGAGGACGACUUUGAACAAACCCCACGAAAAGGACUAAAAUAAGUAUUAAACCUUAAAAAUAGUAUCUCGAUAUGCAAAAGAGUAUUUUAAAAUUCAAAUCCAAUACACCUCAAGAACACAGAAAAUGAAUAUUCGUCACUAGAAAAGAAUUUUCUUAUUGAGAGUUGUUCUUUUCUAUCGUAAUGGGAUAAAAUUUGAAAAAGAUGGCCAAUAUACGAGAUUUUUAUAAAUGUUUAAAAACAAUUACAUAUUAACAUCCGUUCUUUUUUUUUUUUAUUUAACAUUUAUGAAUAAAAGAUUAAAACUAUAUAAUUGUUAUAAGAUGCGUUAACCUUCUUCUCUAUCUUGCAGUAGUGCUUUUUUCUCUUCUAACUCUUCCUCACCUCUCAUAAAUUCCUUUCCAUGGAUAACGGCUCCUCAUCAUACAAACUCCCACGGAAGUACGAUGUGCUCAUCAACUUCACUGGAGAAGACAUAAAUAGAAAAUUUGUUUCUCAUCUCAAUUCUGCCAUCUCUACGGUUGGUCUCACCACUUUCCUUCACCAUCACAAUGCAAUAGAGUCAACUCACAUCCAACAACCUAUUCUCAGCCACUGUCGGGUAGCAAUUGUUGUUUUCAACCAAACCUAUUCUCAAUCUGCUUGGUGUCUUAAUCAGCUUCUACAAAUCAUCGACUGGCACGAAACUUAUGGCCGACAUGUUCUGCCCGUAUAUUAUGAAAUCCAGCCAUCUGAUGUACGUCUUCAGAAGGGUGACUUUGGAAAAGCCUUUAAGGCAACUGCUCAAAAAACAUUUUCAGGACAAGAACUGGAGCAUGGCAUGUCCAGAUGGAGCCAUGCACUCACUAAAACUGCAAAUUUCUUUGGAUGGGAUGAGAGCAAUCAUAGGUACAUCACUCACUCAAUCAACCAUCUUUUAAUCCUCGGAUUUAAUUUUGUUAAUACAUGACUUCUUUUUGAAGGAGUGAUGCUGAACUAGUGGAGAAAAUUGUUAAGAGCGUUCUUAAUUUACCAGUCUUAUCUGCUACUAAAUUUCCAGUUAGAUUACAAUUAUACGUCGAAGAUCUGAUUCGAACUAUCAAAACUAAAUCCACGGAAACUUGUAUAAUAGGAAUAGGUGGAUCGGGAGGAUAUGGUAAAACCACUCUUGCCAAAGCCAUUUACAAUCAAAUUCAUGGGACAUUCAAGAAGAAAAGUUUCAUUGAAAAUAUUUCACAUGUUAGGGGAAUAAGAGGGCUUCUUGGUUUACAAGAACAACUUCUUUUAGAUGUCCUAAAACAAAAGGUGGAGAUUCCUAGCGUUGAUGUGGGAAGAACUAUGAUUCGGGAAAGACUUUUAGGAAAAAGGGUUCUCAUUGUACUUGACGAUGUUUCUUACUUUAGUUUAUUCGACUUAUGGGAUUGUCGUAAAUGGCUCGUUGAAGGAACUGUAAUAAUCGUAACACAUGAAAUACCGCUGACAGGUCAAGUUAAUUUUGUCUUUUGGUUAGAACCAAUGAACGAAGAGGAAUCCCUUGAGCUUCUUAGUUGGCACGCAUUUAGAGAACCAAAACCAAAAGAAGAAUACGAAGACCUUGCAAGAAGUGUAGUUAGUUAUUGUGAAGGACUACCGCUGGCUCUUGAAGUCGUUGGAAGUUGUUUAUUUGAAAAGACGAAAGAAGAAUGGAACACUUUAUUAAUUAAAUAUGCGAUAGUUGGCAGGCAUCGUGUUUCAGAGAUAAUAAAAGUAAGCAUCGAAGGUUCAAUCAAUGAAAUGGAGAAAGAUAUAUUCCUUGAUAUAUGUUGUUUCUUUGUUGGUAAGAGCAGAGCCUAUGCUACGAAGAUCCUAAAUGGCUGUGGAGUAGACGCUGAUAUGGGAAUAAGAGUUCUCAUCCAGCGUAACCUCAUCAAAAUUAACAACAACAACAAAUUUGGAAUCCAUCCUUUGCUACAAGAAAUCGGAGUACAAAUUAUUCGUGAAAAUUUAGAAACAGAUCAUGAGAAGAACAGGCUGUGGUUUGAUAAGGAUGUAAAACAUGUAAGAAUAUUCUUUACGUGUGGCUUGAAACUUCUUUUGAAAGCAUUUACUUUGUCCUGUGCACAUUUGUUUUUAUUUGGAAUUUUCUUCACAGGGGACAAAAGCCAUGCAGUGGUUGCCUGUCAAUGCCUACGGUAGUGCACAACCGACUGUAAAUUCUGACUACCUUCUUAAGAAACUAAGAUGGAUCAGUUGGCAUGGGCUUUCUUCAGAACGUCUACCUAACAACUUUUAUGAGCAUAAUGCAAUAGCUAUUGAUUUAAAACGCAGUCUUCUUCGAUUUCUCUGGAAAACACCCCAGGUUUUAUUACCACCCACUUCUCCUUAAAAUACAACUUUAGUAAAAUAAAUUAGUAGCUUGCUAUUACUUCAUUUUUAAUUUGUAGUCUAAUAUUUCUAAAAUGAAAAACUAUCUUGGUGUAGGUUUUGAGAUCGCUAAAAGUCCUUAACCUCAGUCACUCCAAGCAUUUAACUACAACCCCUGACUUUACCGGAUUACCAAGUCUUGAACACCUCAGUUUCAAAUAUUGUUCAAGAUUACGGAAACUACACCGAUCUAUUGGAUCACUCAACAGUCUUAUACUGCUAAAUUUGAAAUACUGUACAAGUCUAAACAAUCUUCCGAAAGAGAUAUAUGAGUUGAAAUCUUUAAGAACCUUCAUUCUCUCUGGUUGUUCCAAGAUUCACAUAAUGGAUAAAGAUAUAGCAAAGUUGGAAUCCUUGAUAACUCUAAUUGCCGAAAAUACAGCUGUGAAAGAAGUGCCUUUUUCAAUUGUAAGCUCAAAAAGCAUUGGAUAUAUAUCCCUACCUGGAUUUGAGGGAUUAUCUCAUAAUCUUUUUCCUUCCAUCAUUCGGUCUUGGAUAUCCCCAAUAAUGAAUCCCAUCUCUUAUAUUCAUUCGUUUUGCAUGGAUACUGAGGAUAAUACGAUUGAUAUUGCACCGUUGCUUAGCACCCUUGCAAAUAUUCGAAGUGUUUUGGUAGCAUGUGACACCGAUUUUCAAUUAUCUAAGCAAGUCAAAAAUAUUUUGGAUGAAUACUUUUCGAGUAUUACAAAAUCAGGAAUUUCAAAGCAGCACUUGAGGUGUUCUUUGAUUGGUGUUGGAGCAUACCAUCAAUUCUUCAAUGCUGUCAGGGAUAACAUAUAUGAGGUUCUUCUCUAGCUUUGUCUUUGUUUCUUACUUUCACUAUCAUUUUAGCUAUUAAUCAAGAGAACAUAAGAUAAUCCUAAUGAAAUAUCUUACUGCUACAAUAAUCAAUUUUAUCACGUUUAAUUUCUAUUGCCAUAGAACCUCAUCUAGAGAUUUCUUAUUUUGGUAAUCAACUAAGCAAGUGAUUUUUCUUUUAUUUCAAUACUUUCUUACCUUACUUUACUGGUUUCACGAUUGUUAUAUUUCCAAUCGUAGUAGAAAUAUACCAAAAGAGACAAAAUCAUAAAUUGUAAAUCACUGACGACGUAAUGAUGAUACAUACAGUAUAAAACUAUUAAUCAGAUUUGUUUAGAUUAAUUACCAUCGGUAUGUUUUGAUUAUGUACUGGAUUGUUGUUUGCUUGAUUAUAAAUGCCCACUUUGUAAUUAUUAAUGUUAAAAUAAUGAUAAUAGAAGACAAUUUGAAUAGAAAAAUAUGAUGCAGGUAUUGGCAAACAGUGAGUCUGGUGAUGUUUGUCUCCCAGCAGUCAAUGAUCCUUAUUGUUUGGCCCAUAUGGGUGAUGGACACUCUGUUUCUUUCAUUGUGCCUCAAGAUCGUUACAUGAAAGGAAUGACUUUGUGUGUUGUUUAUUUAUCAAACCCUGAAGCCAUUGAACCUCAAUUUACUACUGUCGUAGUUAUUAACUACACAAAGUGUAGAUUCCAGAUACACAACUAUGGCACAGUCAUUUCCUUUAAAGAUGAAGAUUGGCAUGACAUAAUUUCAAAUUUAGAAUCUGGAGACAAGGUGGAGAUUUUUGUGAAUUUCGGCAAUGGAUUGGUGGUCAAGAACACCACGGUGUAUCUGAUAUGUGGUGAAUCAAAGAACAUGAGAAAAGCCUUUGAGCCAAAGAAACAUGGUCUCAUUAGAUUCGUAAAGAAAGUUGUAAUGUGACUUCUGAUAAAUCAUUUAUGUUCUUUGAGAACAGCAUGAUCACUUUAGUGAUGGAAAUAAUCUUACUGUUCUUGUUCUUCAUUACUAUUUAUAUAUUCCUAUCCUUUCCUUGUUUUUCUUUAGAGUAUAGCUUACAGUUAAGAAUUUCAUUUGUGUUUUGUAAGCUAUUUUAAUUUAUCAAAUCAUACAUGAUCUUAAAUUUUAUGAUUCUUAUAAACUCUCAUAUACAUAAAUACGAAGGAAAAAAAUUAACUAUAUCUAUUGCAAAGUUUCCGAGGUAGACAAUCUCCAUAAAAUUAUAGAGAUAAGGAAAGAGAAAUAAUUUUUCCAGCUUUCUCUUUUCAUUCAUUAUGCUGAAAUAAAUAUGCGUAUUGGUUACCGAUCAUUCGCAUAGAAACUAACAAUAGAUAUUCUCUUAAUAGAAUUUAUGAUCAAUUGACACCUCACAAAGAUAUCUUUAUAAUAUGAUUCUAUUAAAUUCCUUCCUCAAUGAUAAUCCAAAAGAUAUUGUGAUUUCCUACUCUUCCUUUUAGUUAGUGUGGUGCUAAUAGGCCUUGUAUUGGUCCAAUUGCCAAGAUGCAAAGCUACUAGGCUCCUUCUGCUAACAAAGUCUUAGAAUAAAAGCUUUGGAAAAAAAUGAGGAAGAAGAAUCUCAUAAUAGAUGUUAAAAAUUGCCUUCCAUGAGUGUUAAUUUUAGAAUAUAGAUAUAAUGCAUUUCGUCAAACACAUAUGAGACUUUAUUUUCGUGUUUAAAAUGUUUUUUCUUAAUAAAUAUCCAAAUUCAUUAGUUUCUGAAACACCAUGCUUGUACUUUAUAAAAAUAAUUAGAUUUUUAAUUAUACAUCAAAUCAUUUUAAUUUAUGAUAAAAAAUAAAGGUAUUCUCAAAAUUUUCUAUAAGCAUUCCGACAUUCAAUCCAAAGAACCAAGUUUGUACAAAAAAAAUACCUACAGAUCCUAUUAUAAAGUCAACAAUGAAAAAAAAUAUAUGUAUAAACGGAGUGAAGCAAUAAUUUAAUAUAGAACAUAACUUUUUUCUUAUAGACUUUCUUAUCAAUUUUUCAUAAAUUUUAAAACUGAAAUUUAUUCUCAUUAAAAAUAACAUUAGAUUAGAUUAACUAAUCCGAAACGAAUAAAGUAAUUUUCCGUUCACUCUAGAUCUAUCAUAUUUAUUAAUUGUUUAGACUAGAUUCCAUUCUUUCAUAAUUCAUUCUAAUUUCCCUUCCAAAGUCAAAGCAAAAGUAAUAAUAAUUUUUCAAUUUUUUAUUAUGAUUAAGAAAUUAAAAGCAGUAUUCAAAUAUGCAUUUAAUAAGAGUAAUUUGUUUACCUUUUGAAAAUCAAGAAAAAGUUGUGUUAUUAAGAACCUAGAAAAUAGUGUAUUAGAGUAUAUAUAUAUAUAUCUUAUAAUGAGGUGUAUUAAAAUAAUGAGACCGGAUAUUUUAUUUCAAAAUAAUCUUAUAAUAUAAAUAGACUUUUAUAAAGCUCGUCUCAUUAAAAACACUGUUUAUUUCUUUAAACUUUUUUCUCUUCGUUCUCUCUAAUUUUUCUCUACAAAUUCUUACUCUUCGACAAUUUGUUUGACGAUCAGGAAGUGUCUAAGUGAUCCUGACAUCGAAGGCUACGAUUUUUACCGAUCAAUUUCUCGUUUUGAGCGGUAAGAUUCGUUCCCUAUUUUUAGGUUUUCUCUUAAAUAUGUGAUUAUGCAGACUUUCUGUCUUGCAUGAGAAUUGUAUAUCUCUUUCUUGACUCUUAACUCAAUUUAGGUUCUAGGAUUUUCUAGAUUUUCCUUACGGUGCAAGCAUCUGUCGGAGUUUCUGUGAGUUGUGCACAAUUUGAUUAAGGUAAGGGAAGCUAGAGUUUCGCUUUAAUUUAGUAAAUUGAUAUGUAUGUGUGUAAAUUCUUGGUUAUCUUGUUGUUUGAAUUAAACUUAGGCUCUAGAAUAAUUGGAUCAUGUGUGAUUGGAUUGUUUUGGAAUGUGCCUUUGAUGAAAUGUGAAAAAUGAAUUGAAUUGGAUGAUGAUUGAUAUGUUAUGGGCUGUAUGGAAUGUUAGAAAUUGUGAUAGAGUUGGUUAGUUGAUAAGAAAAUCAUAUUUCCAAAGUUUUAAGGGUAGUUUUGAGGACGUGAAGUAGUGAAAAUGUGAAAUAGGGGUUAGUUGACCAAGUGGUCCAUUAGGAUAGUUUGAUCAAGUAAUUUAGGACUUGUUAGAGUCCCUAAGUUACUUAAAAUAGUGUCAAAAGUGGUAGAAUUUAAUUUGGAUCCAUAAGUUGAUGAAUUGUGUGUUUUGAAGUGGGAAAUUGUUAGAAAUCAAUUUAGAAUGAUGGUAGUAAUGUUUAGAAGCACUUGUUCAAGUCUAAUUAGGUGUAUAACACGAUUUGGGGUGGUUUGAAGUUGGGAAAAAUAGUUAGAAUUGGUAAAAAAAAUUGGUAUAGGUUGUAUAAGUCUGCAUAAUUGGUGUUGUAGAUUAUGUAGACUCGCUAAGCGGAUGGAGUUGCUCAACGGGUUGUUGUAGAGGUUGGUUUUCUGCAGGAGGACCUUUGCUUAGCGAGCGGGUGUGCUGAGCAAAUGGUUGAGGUCUGGGAGCACUGUCAGUUUUAUUCGGAUAGCUAGUGGAGUCGUUCAACGAGUGGUUGUUGAUAAUGACAUAUUUUACCAUGAUUUCAGUGAUGAAUCAAGAGAAAAUGUCAACCCUUUCUUAACUUUAUACCUUGUAAAUCCUAGUUUUCUUUUAGGUUGUUAAAUGGUUGCACCCCAAGUUUUAAUGAGAUAUUUUGUUCACUAAUCCUUGCUUUCAUGUGCUUAAUGGAAUUGGAAGAAGUCUAUGCAUCAAAUGAAGGCACUGGAAACCAAGAAAAGCAAGAAGAGCAACAAAAAUGAAGAACCAUAAUUUUGUUGAAAUCAAGCUCGGGACCCCUGGCCUAAGGGGGCUUGAGUGCCAGUGCACCAGUUCCUGAGUCUGACUGUCGUGCACCUGAGCGUCCAAUUUUUGGGGGGCUUGAGCGCCAACUUUGCUGACAUGGCAGAUUUGCCCUAUUUCACUUGGAUGCACGAAGAUCUUUGGAUCUUUUGCAAACCAGACACAUUUUCUCUGCUUGGGAGCUCUUGGAGACGAGCUAGGAGCUGUGGGAACAAUCCUUCUUCAUCCUUGGGUUCUCUUCUUUCUUCCAUUUCCACCAUUGUUGUAAGCUUGAGCUCUCCAUUCAUGGAGAGCUAGUUUUAUUAUAGUUGGGAGAUUGUUGUAGCCACUGAACUCUUAUGUAAAUCACUUUGUUUUGAAUGAAUAUAUGUCUCUUUCAUCGAUUGUUAGUAUUUAACUCCUUCUCUUAAUGCUUGUUGUGAAGUAGCUACCCAUGACUUGAUUUUAGGGUUUGCUUAAUAUUGGGAAAUGUUGAGUAAAUCCGGACUUGGGUUAAACACCUAAAGGAAAUAGUGUCUAGGCAUAGAACUAGGACCUUUGGUUGUCUUAAAAUCUCGUUUCUUAAUGCGGGUGAACUUGUUAGGUUGCCAAGGGAUUGGAAUUUAAUAAGUGAAUCUAGGCUCUUUCUACCAAGGGAUUGGGGUUUGAGUAAAUUAGUAGAUUGAUAUUGACAUAUUAAUGAAGAGGAAGUGAUUUUAUUUGCAUAAGAGUGAAGUCGGUGAAAGCAUACCCCCAACAAUACCAUUCCAUUUCAUUUCUAAUCUUACCAUUUCCAAGUGUUUGAAUGCUUAAGAUCACUUUUAUCAUUUAUGUUUUAUAGUUACUUUAAUUGAACAAAAAUUCACACUAAAAGGGAAUCAUUCUUUAGCUUAAAUUAGUUAGUAAUUAUACGAUAGUAAAGUAGUAACCGAGUCUCUUGGAAAACGAUAUCCGGUCUUACCGAUUUUACUACUUGCACGAUUUGGUACGCUUGCCAAAGUCACAACAGUUGUAGAGAUUGGUUUUCUGUCUAAGGACUUUCGAUCAGCGAGAGGGUGCAUUGAACGAAUGGUUGAGGUUUGGGAGCACUCUUAGUUUUAUUCGGAUAGCGAGUAGAGUCACUCAACGGGUGGUUGUAGAGGUGGGUUUUCUGUCUGAGGACUUUUGCUCAGCGAGAGGGUGUGUUGAGCGAGUGGUUGAGGUCUGGGAGCUUUAUUCGUAUAGCGAGUGGAGUCCCUCAGCGAGUGGUUGUAGAGGUUGGUUUUCUAUUUGAGGACUUUCGCUCAACGACAGGGUGUGUUGAGCAACUGGUACUAGUAGUGAUGUAUGUUUUUCUUUUUGUUUAUGUUGAUGCAAUUAGAGUUUUGAUUAGUAUGUUGGGUGAUGCAUUCUUGUGAAUAGACAUAUUUUACUUAGGAAAUAUGAGUAUUGAACUUAAACCUAUGACUCAGGGUGAGAUUCAUGAAAGUAAUUUGGUUGAAGUUGUAGUUGUUAGGGUAUGAAUGUAUGGAGCUUUGAAAUGGUAGUAUAUUCUGACACUCUAACGAUCAUUAAAUUCUCAAAUAGAGAGGAAUGAUGCACGUGGUGAGAGUAGUGGGAGGUUCUUGUUAUAAGCUUUGAAAUUAGCCUGGACAAACCUUGUAUGGUGUUGGAGAGUGUCAACAGUACCAUACAAGUGCACAGACUACAAAUAGUUCAACAUUCAUAUCCAAUCCGGAUGAGUCUUGUAGAGUACGAGAUGUUUGGAGUGAUCGUAGUGUAUUUUGUCCUCUUGAAUUGAGGACUGAGAUUUGUUUAAUUACUUGAUUUAAUAUGAUUCUUUCUUGUUUACCUAGCUUACCCUUCUUUUUUGUUGUGUCAAUUGAAUGUUUUUGCAUUAUUCUUCGUGGCAAUGAUCAUCUGAUGGAUGUGAGUAGAGGGCGAAGAGAUAUCUGUGGAGCAGGCUCUUGAUGACAGAGGUGCUGCUGAGUAGAGUAGUUUUACGUUAGUUUUACAAAUAGUUUUGAGUUAUGCAAUUUGUAUAUAAGGUUUUGAACUUAUAGUUGUUUUUGGAUAACUGGAAGUUGAAUUCUAUAUUUUAGCUACAAGUGUUAUAUCAUAUCAGUUGUGAUGACUCUAUUAUAUAGUUUUAUACUAUAUUUUUGGAAUGUUACAAUCAAAUAUGGUUCACUAUCAGAAAUUGAUUUUAAGAAUAUAAAUUUAAUCUAAAUACAUUAUUCGUUAUGUAAAUAUAACAUUUUGACUAAAAUUAAUUAUAUGAAACUGAUUAUUACCUUUUAAUGAAAUUUUGAAUGAUAAUUAUUAACCUUUUACAACUUGAUUUCACACCAUUGGCAAGACUUUUGAAAAUAGAUACCAUUUUCCAUAAGUGGAAAAAUAAAAAAAGUUGUAACUGAGAAUCUUUGUUUGGCAAAGAGUUGUAAACAGCUUUGUUAAACGUGUUUUUCAGGAAAAAUUGCAUAAAAAAUUCAUGGUUCAACCAACAUCAACUCCAGCAGCCUGUAAUUUAUAAGAUAUACCCAUAAAAAGCUAGUGUUCAUAUCGCAAUAUUAUAAUGGAAAAAUGUGUUUUUUAUUGAGCAAGAGGAUGUUUGGAGAAAAUUUCUUUACAAAACUUCUAAGAAAGAAAAACAAGAUUAACUUUAGUUUAUGAUAUUGAGGUGAUUUUCUUCCUCAAUAUUUCUUACGAGAGCAAACUAAAAAAAAUUAUAUAUUUUGUUUUAUAAACUAAAAUUAUCUUAUGCAUAAGUUGAUUUAUAAAAAAAUAUUAUAUAAUUCUCUUGAUACAUAUUUUGGUUUGUUAGUUUUCUUUAAAGUGAUCCUAAGUAUUUUUCGAUCUUAAUUUGUAAAAUUUAUUCAUUUUGAUUAUUUUACUGGUCGUGAUCUUUAAUUCAUCAUUUCAACUAAUAUUAAAUGAGUUUCUAAUUUUGAACAUAAAUGAAAAGUUAAGGUUAUCACGCAAUGCAAAAGUCCAACAAAAAUGUGAUAAAAAUGUGUUAAUAUUGUAUUUAACAUUUAUGAAUAAAAGAUUAAAACUACAUUGUAUUGAACAUCUCCCUCUCUGUCUUGCAGUAUUAGUUUCUCUUUCUAACUAUUCAUCACCUCUCAUCAAUUCCUUUCCAUGGAUAACGCCUCCUCAUACUACAAACUCCCACGGAAGUACGAUGUGCUCAUCAAUUUCACUGGAGAAGAAAUCCACAGAAAAAUUGUUUCUCAUCUCAAUUCUGCCCUCUCUACUAUUAUAAUGGUAUAUGCAGUUGUCAGAGUAACACACAAUCAAAACGAAAACAAUGUAAUUCAUAGUAAAAGAAAUGUAGUUAAUAGAUGAAAAGGAAGAAAGGAAAUGAGAUGCUGACACUUACAGGCAAAGGAUGAAGAAGACGAACAGUGAAAAUGAAAAAGGAUAAAACCCCUUUUUGUGUCUGACGUGAAUCACAGAGAGGAAAACUGAAAAAUGUUUUUGUAUGUAUAUUACAGCAAAAAGGUAAAAAACAAAAGGUAAAUAAAGAGGCUAAAGGGAAGUGGGCUGGGCUUCCAGAAUCGGCCCAAUAAUAUACUUUCAUCUACUGUUGGUCUCAUCACUUUCCUUCAUCACCCCAAUGCAGUAGUGAAGUCAACUCACAUCCAAGAACCUGUUCUCAGCCACUGUCGUGUAGUAAUUAUUGUUUUCACCCAAACCUAUUCUCAAUCUGCUUGGUGUCUUCAUCAGCUUCUACAAAUCAUCAAAUGGCACCAAACUUAUUACAGACAUGUUCUGCCUGUAUAUUAUGAAAUCCACCCAUCUGAUGUACGUCUUCAGAAGGGUGACUUUGGAAAAGCCUUGAAGGAAACUGCAC